rnacentral:rRNA from 1 species
GUUGGGGAAUUUGGACAAUGGGCGAAAGCCUGAUCCAGCAAUGCCGCGUGUGUGAAGAAGGCCUUCGGGUUGUAAAGCACUUUUGUCCGGAAAGAAAUCCUUGGCUCUAAUACAGUCGGGGGAUGACGGUACCGGAAGAAUAAGCACCGGCUAACUACGUGCCAGCAGCCGCGGUAAUACGUAGGGUGCAAGCGUUAAUCGGAAUUACUGGGCGUAAAGCGUGCGCAGGCGGUUUGCUAAGACCGAUGUGAAAUCCCCGGGCUCAACCUGGGAACUGCAUUGGUGACUGGCAGGCUAGAGUAUGGCAGAGGGGGGUAGAAUUCCACGUGUAGCAGUGAAAUGCGUAGAGAUGUGGAGGAAUACCGAUGGCGAAGGCAGCCCCCUGGGCCAAGUACUGACGCUCAUGCACGAAAGCGUGGGGGAGCAAACAGGAUUAGAUACCCUGGUAGUCCACGCCCCUAAAACGAUGUCAACUAGUUGUUGGGGGAUUUCAUUUUCCUUAGUAACGUAGCUAACGCGUGAAGUUGACCGCCUGGGGAGUACGGUCGCAAGAUUAAAACUCAAAU